CCUACGGGAGGCAGCAGUGAGGAAUAUUGGUCAAUGGCCGGAAGGCUGAACCAGCCAUGCCGCGUGAAGGUCAGUGCCCUAUGGGCGUUAAACUUCUUUUGUGCGGGAGCAAUAAUGGUCACGUGUGGCCAGACGAGAGUACCGUACGAAUAAGCAUCGGCUAACUCCGUGCCAGCAGCCGCGGUAAUACGGGGGAUGCAAGCGUUAUCCGGAUUUAUUGGGGUUAAAGGGUGCGUAGGCUGUGAGGUAAGUCAGCGGUGAAAUGCCCCCGCUCAACGGGGUGAAGUGCAAUUGAUACUGCCUUGCUGGAAUGCGGAUGCCGUGGGAGGAAUGUGUGGUGUAGCGGUGAAAUGCAUAGAUAUCACACAGAACACCGAUUGCGAAGGCAUCUCACGAAUCCGCGAUUGACGCUGAUGCACGAAAGCGUGGGUAUCAAACAGGAUUAGAUACCCCAGUAGUC
rnacentral:rRNA from 1 species